UUGGAGGGCAAGUCUGGUGCCAGCAGCCGCGGUAAUUCCAGCUCCAAUAGCGUAUAUUAAAGUUGUUGCAGUUAAAAAGCUCGUAGUUGAAUUUCGGGAUUUGUCGGUUGGUCGGGCUUCACUGUCCGCACUGGCCUGAUGGAUUCCUACCUUCUGAACAACCAGCAUGCUAUUAAGUUAGUGCGUUGGGGAAGCAGAGCUAUUACCUUGAAAAAAUUAGAGUGCUUAAAGCAGGCUUGUGCUUGAAUAGAUUAGCAUGGAAUAAUAAAAUAGGACGGCAUGGUUCUAUUUUGUUGGUUUCUAGAAUCACCGUAAUGAUUAAUAGGGAUAGUUGGGGGCAUUAGUAUUCAAUUGUCAGAGGUGAAAUUCUUGGAUUUAUUGAAGACUAACUUCUGCGAAAGCAUUUGCCAAGGAUGUUUUCAUUAAUCAAGAACGAAAGUUAGGGGAUCGAAGACGAUCAGAUACCGUCGUAGUCUUAACCAUAAACUAUGCCGACUAGGGAUCGGACGAUGUUAAUUUUUUAAUGACUCGUUCGGCGCCUUACGGGAAAC
rnacentral:rRNA from 1 species